GACGAACGCUGGCGGCGUGCCUAAUACAUGCAAGUUGAGCGAUGAAGAUUGGUGCUUGCACCAAUUUGAAGAGCAGCGAACGGGUGAGUAACGCGUGGGGAAUCUGCCUUUGAGCGGGGGACAACAUUUGGAAACGAAUGCUAAUACCGCAUAACAACUUUAAACAUAAGUUUUAAGUUUGAAAGAUGCAAUUGCAUCACUCAAAGAUGAUCCCGCGUUGUAUUAGCUAGUUGGUGAGGUAAAGGCUCACCAAGGCGAUGAUACAUAGCCGACCUGAGAGGGUGAUCGGCCACAUUGGGACUGAGACACGGCCCAAACUCCUACGGGAGGCAGCAGUAGGGAAUCUUCGGCAAGGGACGAAAGUCUGACCGAGCAACGCCGCGGGAGGGAAGAAGGUUGUCGGAUCGUAAAACUCUGUUGGUAGAGAAGAACGUUGGUGAGAGUGGAAAGCUCAUCAAGUGACGGUAACUACCCAGAAAGGGACGGCUAACUACGUG
rnacentral:rRNA from 1 species